rnacentral:rRNA from 1 species
GAUGAACGCUGGCGGCGUGCCUAAUACAUGCAAGUCGAGCGAACGGACGAGAGGCUUGCUUUUCUGAUGUUAGCGGCGGACGGGUGAGUAACACGUGGAUAACCUACCUAUAAGACUGGGAUAACUUCGGGAAACCGGAGCUAAUACCGGAUAAUAUUUUGAACCGCAUGGUUCAAAAGUGAAAGACGGUCUUGCUGUCACUUAUAGAUGGAUCCGCGCUGCAUUAGCUAGUUGGUAAGGUAACGGCUUACCAAGGCAACGAUGCAUAGCCGACCUGAGAGGGUGAUCGGCCACACUGGAACUGAGACACGGUCCAGACUCCUACGGGAGGCAGCAGUAGGGAAUCUUCCGCAGUGGGCGAAAGCCUGACGGAGCAACGCCGCGUGAGUGAUGAAGGUCUUCGGAUCGUAAAACUCUGUUAUUAGGGAAGAACAUAUGUGUAAGUAACUGUGCACAUCUUGACGGUACCUAAUCAGAAAGCCACGGCUAACUACGUG